GUGAGGAAUUUUGGACAAUGGGGGCAACCCUGAUCCAGCGACGCCGCGUGAAGGAUGAAGGUCUUCGGAUUGUAAACUUCUUUUAUCUGGGACUAAGAAACCUGUAGAAAUACAGAGAGUGAAUGUACCAGAUGAAUAAGCCACGGCUAACUUCGUGCCAGCAGCCGCGGUAAUACGAAGGUGGCAAGCGUUACUCGGAAUUACUAGGCGUAAAGGGCAGGUAGGUGGUUUUGUAAGUCUAUUGUGAAAGCUCCCGGCUUAACCGGGAGAGGUCAAUGGAUACUGCAGAACUUGAGUAUAGGAGAGGUUACUGGAAUUCCCGGUGUAGCGGUGAAAUGCGCAGAGAUCGGGAGGAACACCAAUGGCGAAAGCAGGUAACUGGACUAUUACUGACACUCAGCUGCGAAAGCUAGGGGAGCAAACAGGAUUAGAAACCCCGGUAGUCC
rnacentral:rRNA from 1 species